CUUUUGUUUGUUUGCUUGUUUUCCUGUGGGGGCUUUGAAUACAUUUCAACUGAAAACUUUUUUUUUUUUUUUUAAACAUGUGGCUUUCAAUCCUUUUGAACUAAAAUUGCUCUCCACGUGGCUGCUAGAAAGGCACUGAUUGUUCCCACAUGCAGUUCAACCCUCUCAAGUUUGGAUGUACUCAGCAGCUGCAGAAGAAAUAGAAAGGAACAGAAAGGAAGCACCAGUGCUAGCUACAUUAGAAAACACUUCUGAGUUCCCGUGAUUUUUGGAACAUCAAGGAGCCACUGUGCUCCACAGCUGAAGGGUGAGUUGCUCAGAAGCAAAUUGUUUCCUUUUCCGCUAACAGAGCUCUUGGUCUGUCGCAGUUUCAUGGAAUGCAUAUCUUGCUGUGUGUGACGUCGCUGGGCUCUGCUGGUUUCUCCUCGCCCCACCGCUGCCAGGGAAAAACAGAUCAGCAUCAGGAACCAUCCUGCAGCACUGCUCUGAAGUGGUAAUCAGGAGGCAGGAGGGAUUAAUGGCGGCAGGAGGCGGUGGCAGAAGCCCUGGCAGUGUGGGCACAGAGCAAUUCGUCCUGCGAUGAGUCAGUGGGAGGCGCAGUGAUUCUGCAUUGUGCCACAUUCAAGUGGCACAGCAGUGAGGAGCAGGCAGCGUUCCUUUAGCUCCCAACCCCAUAAAUCCAUGCCCGGCCUGGACCUGCGACUGCAGCACUGUCAUCAAUUAGGAGGAAAUUCGGCCGUGCCAGCCUCGGAGGGUGAGGUUUUGCAAUAUGCUUCUUCCUGUGUCAUUGCAUGUGGCUGGUGACAGCGGUGACAUCCCACCUCAUCCCCUACCUCUCUCAUUCCUGGGGAUGCGGUGGCUC
rnacentral:lncRNA from 1 species